rnacentral:rRNA from 1 species
GGACGAACGCUGGCGGCGUGCCUAACACAUGCAAGUCGAGCGGAGUUAACAAGAGGAAGUUUCGGAUGGAAUUUGUAAUUAGCGGCGGACGGGUGAGUAACGCGUGAGCGACCAACCUUGCACAGGGGGAUAACGGACCGAAAGGUUCACUAAUACCGCAUGAGACCACGGUGUUGCAUGACACAGAGGUCAAAGGAGCAAUCCGGUGCAAGACGGGCUCGCGUCCGAUUAGGUAGUUGGUGGGGUAAUGGCCCACCAAGCCUAUGAUCGGUAGCCGACCUGAGAGGGUGAUCGGCCACAUUGGAACUGAGAUACGGUCCAAACUCCUACGGGAGGCAGCAGUGGGGAAUAUUGGGCAAAUGGGGGAAACCCUGACCCAGCAACGCCGCGUGAAGGAAGAAGGUUUUCGGAUUGUAAACUUCUGUCCUUGGUGAAGAGAAGAAGACGGUAGCCAAGGAGGAAGCCCCGGCUAACUACGUGCCAGCCGCAGC